UCCUCGUCAAUUGUCAUUGUUGAAUGCAUUGUUGACAAUAGGAUAACUGAUUUUGAUUUCUUGGGGACAUAUGAUACAAGAGUUGUAUUUUCAUUGAAGCCAAAAAUUGAAGAAAAGAUAGGUCUAUUCCUGUUGGGUAAAAACUCUACAGGAAUUUCCUUUUUAUUUUUUUUCAAAGUUCCAACGAGGGUCAAGUUAUGUUCAGUCAACAAACUUUGAGCUAGUGGGAAACUUGUAUACCAGUUAUCAGUGGUAAUAUUUCGUUUUGUUCCUGAUACUGGUUCCACCAAUCUUUUGACAACAUCAUCAGAAGCAUUGGAUUUAUAAAAAGGUCCACGAUUGUUACCAACAUACGGCUCCAUAUUCACAGUAUAGAACGUGUGUGCAUCAGACAUCAUGUAUAUUUUCAAGCCAUAUUUUGCAGGUUUGUUUGGUAUGUAUUGGCGAAAAUUACAUUUCCCUCUAAAAGGAAUAAGCUUUUCAUCGAUUGUUAAAUAUUCGCCAGGGGAAUACAUUUGUUUACAGUUGGCAACAAACAUUUCAAAAAUUUCCCUCAGGGCAGCAAAUUUGUCAUUAUCUCUUCUGAUCUGUCUAGUAAGGACAUUGUCAAAUCGAAUUACUCGCAAAAGGAACAAAAAUCGUUCAUAGGCCAUUGCUGCUCUGCAUAUUUCUAUACCAGUGCCAUUUGCAUUCCAAAUUUCUUUGAAAUGCAAAUGCGAUGCACGAUUUUUUUCCGAUUAUUAUUAUGAGUCCGAGCAGACAACGGAUUUCAUUUUCAUCUGUAUUGCGGCAAUCUCUCUCCCUGCUAUAAUUUGGCCUGAUGGUCUCAAUAAAAAUAUUUGUGUAUUCAACUAUUUUUUUGAUUAUGUCAAUACUAAUAAAUUUCAAAAAAGCUUCUAAUGGAGUUGGAGUGUUCUUACCAAAUUGUUUAGAACAAGGUAAGUGUGUAAUAAUAUUUAUAGCUCUUGUACGUACCCUUGAUGUUCUCCAUUCUUCCUUUUUCCAUUUGGUCAUUUUAUCUCUUCCAAAGAAGUACGUAGAAUCCUGAUGUGGUUCUUGUUCAUCGUCUUCUUGUUCUGAAUCUGAGCUAUGGGGGAUAUAUUCUUCAUCAUCACUAAAGUUAUCAUCAUCUAGCUCAUCAAAAUCUUCUUCUUCCUCAUCAAACAAGCUAAAAAGUGAUUGAAUAUUUUUGCUAUCCAUUAUAAUAUUGGAUCAAAGUAAGCUUAGAUGAUGGGCAAAGUGAAACUAAAUUGACACUGAAAGGUAGGGGAAAUGACUCAUGGUGCGUGAGAAUUCAGCAGUAUCAUAUUCGGGCUGAUUACAAAACUUUGUUACGUAAGUACUCGCGCGGGGUGUGACACACCCCAUUCUAGCAAAAAGAAUAAAUUACAAAUAUAUUCCCUCUAUUAAUUUUGUUGAAAUUUGACAUGUCUAUUUGGCACAUUGAAAUAUUAAGCUAUUGAAAAAAUUGGAAGAUUUUGGUUAAGGAUUUAAUGAUUUUCUUGAGGUAAAGUGAUAGCUUGGGGUGUGAUACACCCCGCGCGAGUACUUAAGGGUUAAAUAUGGUAAUAAAUAUGAAAAGAAGUAAUUCUAAUAAAGAAUUAGACUGUGUUGGAUCGGUGGUUCAAUCAGAUGCAGAAUAGAUUGGAAUAUAUAAGUUUUAAUAUAUCGCAAUAUACUUAGCAAAAUAUACAUAGCAAGCAGCCAGAACAAGGGAAGACAUAAACAGGAAGUGAAGGGAAAGGUACAGCGCUUCUAGUGGUUGGAAGCACCUCAAUGCCACGUCGUCCCGUGACAUAGGCGCGCUGGAAGCCACUGCGUAUUUGAAGGAAGCACAUAGUUCAGCAGACUGAAAGGUUGUUUACUUUGGAAGAGAGUUAUAAAAUGAGGAUGUAUUUCAUUUUAUUGCAAGAUACUGCUCAACUAGAAUUCAAUUCACUCCCUGUGUCUAUCAGUGCUUGGAGUUUGUGGUUAUUAUGUCCUUAUACAUUUGUCCUUUCUUUGUGGCUUCAACCAAAUAAUUUUGUCUUUAUCUUGUGGCUUUGUUUGUUUCACAAGGGUGUUGUAUCACUUCUAGAUGGAUAUUGACUUGCUAUGUGGUCAAAAGAAUUACAAUUGAAACAUUUUCCCCCAAAUCUUUGAAUUUACACUCAUGUGACAGAUGACCUCUUUUACCACAGUUGAAGCAUUUUGAUUCCUUAGCAUUAAUUGGUUUUGGAAUCACUUUGCUUAUAGUGUUGUUUGUCUUUGACUUAGAUUCCAUCACUUUGUAAUUCUUUAGUUUAAAGUCAGAUUAAGAUGUGUGGAGUCAUAUAAGAUAGACUUAUUGAAUUCUUGGUUGGGAAUUCCAUCAAUCACAUUUUGGAUUAUGACAGCUUUCUCAAGAUUGCCUUGACAUCCAAGUUCUCUCAUAUUCAAAAAAUAUACAUAGUAGGUUUCAUUUUGUUGUUUCUUUCUUUUGGUUAAAAGAAUAUGAAUAUACCUACUAUCAAUUGUGAUAGUCUUAGAAAAAAUACGAUGUUUCUAUUAAUAAAUUCCAAGUUGUUUUGUACUCACUUAUUUGUAGUUACGAAGACAUCCCAAUCAUUAUAAACUAAUAUAGUUUAUACGAACCAAAAUAUAUUUAUUUAAGGAAUGACUUGUCUCCCAAUACAAAAGUUAUAAAAACAUGCGAGUGACAAAACCAAAAUAGGAAGUUCAAAGCCUAGUUGUGACGUCAACGCCGAUGAUAAAGUCAAAGUCUGCGUAACACAUCAGGUUGUUAAACUCAUGGGUGAUUGCUUCUUUUAGGUCUGGCCAAGUUGAGAAGGUUGGUUGUGACCUCAAUUUGGCUACUCCAGUCAGCAACUUUUUUGCAACCACUAAGGUAUGAAGACCUGUCCAGCCAACCAAAAUGGUAUUAUCAUCUAUUUCCUGUAUCCAUUUUAUAAUUGGAACUGCUGUACCAUCAAUUUCUGGAAUGCCUUCAAUGGCUUCUGUAAAAAAUAUAACAUUGCUACUUUGAUGUGACAUCUUCACCUGUUCUUUUAAAAUCUCUUGUUUUAAAUCUUCCUCGGCUUUAACCAAUAUAGAUUUUACUUUUUCCAUAUUAAAAGCUAAAAUGUUUUUUUGGGUGAUGAUUUCAAAUCAAAGGAUUGCAAUGUAAGCAAGUUGCUGGGGGCUUUAAAUUUGAUGGUAAAAAUAAUUUUUAAUUUAUAAAAAAUAAAUGCUAAAAAUAUACCUAUGUUUAAUCCAUUUUUAAAAAUUAUCCAUUUUUUAAAAAAAGAUUACUUCAACUGAAUAUCUUCCUUUCUUUUUUUUUUUUUUGCCAUUGUUUUUUGUUUUGGCAUAUUUCUUUUAGGCUUGGCGUCGUUUGCUUUAUCGUCAUUUGUAAAAUAAAGCAAAAAUCCGAAAUCUCGAUCCAGGAUGACCCCCAAAAUUUUGUCUUGGUCGGGAAUUCCAUCAAUCACAUAUUGAAUUAUGACUGCUUUCUCAAAAUUGCCUUGACUUCCAAGUUCUCUCAUAUUAAAAAAAAAUAUUCAUAGUAGGUUUCAUUUUGUUGUUUCUUUCUUUUGGUUAAAAGAAUAUGAAUAUUCCUACUAUCAAUUGGGUUGUCAAACUCUUGGGUGAUUGCUCCUUUAAGGUCUGACUGGCUGGGACACAUACAUAUAAAGCAGAUAACAUGCUAGAGAUUAUCUCCACUGUCUUAUGACAUAAAGAGAGUUAGUUAGGUGAGUCCUCUAAUGUAUUAGAGUGCCACCACCCGUGCUGGAGGAGCAAAGAGCUCUCCAGGCAUGAGGAUCAGAAAGGCAUCCCUAGCCCUGCAGUGCUCUUCAUGGUAGUCCUGAUCAGGUUAUCCACAGCUGGGUGCUUUGAGAUGAUGGUGUUGAGGUGUAUAUCUCCUGACCCCCAAUCUCCUGGAGGAGAGUGAUGAAACAAUAUGCCAAGUUGGAGACGUUUGUGGAUUUUUCCUACCCCAGAUCCCACCUAUAAACAAAAAAAAGGUGUUAGUGCCAACUUCUCUUGUAUGCCCCUACUCUGUUCCUACAAUCUCCUUCAGUACAAGCAACAUAAAUUCUGGGAAUGCAGUCACUUCAAUGGCUCUAUAUUGUGUCAAGUUCUGCCAGGGAGAGAUGGUCACUCAGUCCACAGUAUUGGCAACCACUACUUCGGUGAAAGAUGAUUGAUCUCUCUCCAUAUCCUUGCCAGAAUUCAUUCUGAUGAUGAAGUUGAUGCUCACCCCAGUCCUUGACUGACCUCUUGUUGGACUUUGAUUUAAAAAUUGUUGUUGCCUUGACGACAGUAUUGUUUGUUAAGAAUUUACAAAUGAAGGCCUCUGUGGCUGAGACAUUAUUUUAAGUCCAGUUGAGAAGGUUCCUGUUUGGUUAAAGUUCUCCUUGGGCCGCAGUUUACUAGGGAACUUUGCACCAUAUUAUAUUAAUGUUUGGUGUUUAUAGUUUUUAUAAUUAAGAAUGAGAUUUGUAUAAAUUGUUUAUUAAACUUUAUACUGAUCUUUUUAAAUCACCACGUUGUUUACAUUCUACAUCUUAUUCUUGUUGUUUAUAAUGAUGAUAUAUAUUUAUUCACAGAAUAAUAGGAUAUAUAUAUUUAGUCCCAAACAUCUCCCUAUUUUUAAAAACAAAAAGAUAGUGUAUAUGAGAUAAUAGCUAUAUAACUAAUGUGUGUAUAAAAGAGAUAUAAGAGAGUAAAUAAUCACUUAAGUAUCCAGAACAUAGUCGCUGUAUCUUGAUGGUGUUCGGAUUGGUCGACCAGAUCUUGUCCUCCGUGGGCCUGAGUCGGUGGAACGGGGUGUUUCCAUUGAAGUGGAGGAUUCACAGAUCAGAUCUACUUUAUUUUCAUUUGACUCAAAAUCUUCACCCUGUGGGUUUUGGUCCGUGUACUCUCCAUUAAGGUUUAAGCCUGAUGGUAAAGUUCUAAUGUUUCUUCUACAAGGUGGGAUCAAUAAAUAAGGUGAAUUAUAAUUUAUUUAAAAAAAAAAGAACGAUAUUAAAAUUAGGACUUGAUUUAUUCAAAAUAAUCACCUUGGCUUUCUAUACAUCGUCUCCAUCGUUCUGGAAACUUGUAAAUACCCUCUUUAUAGGCACUCUUAGGAAGAGUGUGAAAAAAAUCUUGCACCACUUUCUGGACAUCUUCAUCCGAGUCAAAUCGCUUUCCCUUUAACUCCUUCUUUAGUAGUCCAAAAAGGAAAUAGUCGGAGGGGGCUAGGUCUGGACUAUAUGCAGGAUGUGUGUUCUAAAACUUCAACUCCACCAGCGAGUGCAAGUAACCAAACGGGGCUCUGGCACAUUUGUAAGUGCAAAGUCGAACUGCUUUUCACAUGUGUAGACAUGUGGUGCGCUUACAGUAAAAAAAAAAAAGCAGUCGCUAACUACCCACCAUGAUUAUCAUGGCCUGUACCACGUGUACUAGGGAUAAGCAAAAAAAACAAAAAAAUCUAAUUUAAUGAUUGUAGAUACAGUUUUACAUGAUGUAUGCGGCCUUGCAUUAUCAUGAAGGAAGAGAACACCUUUACUAAGCCUCCCUCUUCUUUUGUUUCUUAUACCGGGCUUUAGCUUAUUUACAAGAAUGUCACAAUAAAGGUCGCUGUUCAUACGUUGCCUUGAGGAUAAAAAAUCAAGACAGAUUGGUCCAUCAACAUCCCAAAAAAUUGUUAACAAAACUUUACCGGCCGAAUGUUGAGACCUGAUUUUUUUUGGUCUUGGAGAGUCGCCUCGUUUCCAAUCCAUAGAUGUACAUUUUGUCAAAGGAUCAUAAUGAUAACACCAACUCUCAUCUCCAGUUACAAUUUGGUCAAGGAAAUGAUCACCUUCCUCUUCAUACUGCUUUAACAGAGCCUUUGAAACCCGAAUACGGUUAAGUUUUUGGUCCAAAUUAAGGAAAUGUGGAAUCCAUCUGCAGCAUAUUUUUCUAAAUUGCAAUUGUUCAUUAAAAAUGGUGUGCACAGUUCCAUAGCUUAUAUUCAAAUUGUCGGCUAUGGUAAAAAUGGAUAUUUUUCUAUCCUCCAAAAUUAAGUUUUCAACCGCAUUUAUCGUGCUUGGCGUCGCUGUAACACAUGGUCGUCCAGGUCGCUCAAUAUCGGAACAUGUAAUUUGUCCAUUUUUGAACUCGUUAACCCAUUAAUAAAUGUUUUUUUUAAGACAAACAAGUCUCACCAUAUUUUUCAUUCUUUGGCAUAUUUGAGAUGUUUGAAUACCUUCUGCAUUCAAGAAACGAAUAACUGCACGUUGUUCAAGCGUGGUGCAAUCCUUCAAGGGAGCUUCCAUUUUAGUUUAUUUAUAAGUCUCGCGCCGCGCGUGGGAAAAAAGAACAGAACACCUUAAAUAGUCUCUCGAUGUUAUAUUUUAAUAUUCUGUGGUUUAAAUUAUUUUUGCUUUUUUAAUUUUUAAAAAUAAGAUAAUUAACCUUAUUUAUUGAUCCCCCCUUGUAUUUCUUCUGUAUUAAUGACCUUCAACUAUAUACGAUCGGGGAUCUUGGGCAGAGAUGCAUUUACCCAUUCUCCACUUAUCUUUUUCUUUCAAUUUGACACUUAU